rnacentral:siRNA from 1 species
UGCUACGUCAUAGCUUGGAGU